ensembl:lncRNA
AAAGAGGUUUAAUUGGCUCACGGUUCUGCAGGCUGUACAGGAAGCAUGGUGCCCGCAUCUGUUCCUGUGAGGCCUCAGGAAGCUUCCACUCAUGGUGGAAGGUGACAGGGAGCCAGCAUCACGUAGCGAGUGGGAGGAGGGGAAGGAAAAGGGGAGUUCCCAGACUCUUUUAAACAAUCCGCUCUUGAGUGAGCCAACUGAGCAAGAACUCACUCAUCACCAAGGGGAUGGUGCUAAGCCAUUCACGACGGAUCCACCCUCAUGAUCCAACACCUCCCACCAGGCCCCACUUCCAACACGGAAUCACAUUCCAACAUGAGAUUUGGAGGGAACAAAGAAUCCAAACCACAUCAGUGUGUGCGCGUGUCUGUGCAUGUCUGUGUCCAUCUGUGUGUGCACGUCUCUGCACGUCUGCGUGGAUCUGUGUGUCUCUAUGCAUAUGUGUCCAUGUGUUAGCAUUUGGUCCAAGCCUUGCUUCCAGAGCCACAGCAGCCACAAUAGCACCAGCUGAGGGAAAGGGCUGUGUGAAUGCCACUGCCUCCCUGAUGCUGACGGGGACCUUAACCACAGGGACAGCCCGGAGUCUCUCCAGCCAAGGCAGAGGAUUGGCCGGUUGGUCUCAGAAGGCAGUGGGUGGGCAGGGUCCUCAUUCUCUGGCCGAGAUUUCUUGGGCCUGGUGCUAAGGCUGCCGAGGAGUGGGGGCCCAGGAGCUGGGGAUGGUUCACUGCUGUGGGGUGGGCUGCAGAGCCCACCUGAGCCCCUCCAGGAGGGGAAGGGGAUCUCUGUGGCCUGCAGCCCCCAGACAUCACUGUAUGUGGCUGGAGCCUACAGGCUGGAGGGCUGGGAUCCACACUGCUGGGCCCCUGCUGAUCACUCCAGCCCAGGGCUUCACCCAGGAGCCAGCUCUCCUUCCCAUCCCUAAUGCUCAGGCACUUAACUAUUUGACAAACCAAUGACGAAACAUGCAAGGACGGGGACCGCUGGAGCCUCGUGAGGCCCCAAGCACAGGAUCCAUUCCCAGAUGCCAGUGUCACUCCCAAGUCACCUGCUUUUGUAAGUCUCUUAUUUUGGGUGGAGCCCUCUGGAAGCCCACGCCCUGCUGUCUGUGGCCACUCCUAGCAGCGAAGCCUCGAUGGAGGUUUCUGUAAGGUCUUCACGAGUCUCCUGGCUCCUCCCUCAGAGCAGCUGCCUCCAGAUUACAACUACCACGUGCCGUUGGUGGCUGCAGCCCCACCCCCCUACUCUAAAGCAGCUCCUGCAGGAAACCUGGGCCUUGUGUGGCUGGGGAACUCCCAGGACUCCUGCCACGCAGGUGGACCGGAGGACGGCUUGGGCAGGCCCCUCGCAGGCAGGGGAAGAUUCGCUUGGCUCCACCUGGCCGGAGAGAUAGGUGAGGGACUGGCCUUUGUGGGUCCUGUGGGGUCCCCUUGGGGCUGUGGCUCCCUGACCUUGCUGUUUCCAAGCGGGAAGGGGUCUAGGAGCCCCGCUGCUGUUCAUCCCGGCUUCCUCUGGGCUUCCUGGCCUGUCCUGCACAUAAAGGGAGCACGCUGCCCUGGAGAGCUGGCCCCAUGGCCCGCUCCUCUUUGCCUGGAGGGAAGGAAGGCCUCCUCCUCCUUGGCGUUGCCCCCCUGUCUUCCAGCAGGGCCAGGCUCUGCCCGCCCGUGGAGAAGGCCAGUACUGGGGAGACAGCCAGGGCUCCCACGAAGCAGGGAGUCCCUCCAGGCCAGGCGCUCCAUCCUGUAGUGCUCCCUUAAAUUCUGCAAGCUACCCCAGAUCCCCUGUUUCCAGCCAACAAAUCCUUUUUAAGUUCCUUUGAGAUUUGUUCGU